GGGGGGUUAGUUCAGCUGGUUAGAACGUCGGCCUGUCACGCCGAAGGUCACGGGUUCAAGUCCCGUACCCCUCG
rnacentral:tRNA from 1 species